GGGCCCAUAGCUCAGUUGGUUAGAGCACUGUGCUGAUAACGCAGGGGUCAGUGGUUCGAAUCCACUUGGGCCCA
rnacentral:tRNA from 1 species